UAUGUGACCUGAUGAACACAAAGCUGUACAAGAUGGUGAAGUUAAAGGAAAGGCUCCAAUGUUUCUGAAACUUCUGAAAAGUCUGGUGCCGACCAACGCCUUCCAACUUCUCCUGCUGACUUGGUUUUCAGAGGCAGAGAACUUGUAAAUGAGGUAAACCAGAAAAUAAGCCCACUCCUUGGAACUGAGAGAAGCAUCACUGCUGCUUAGUUUCCCCAGACAAAGUGUCUGGAUGGAGAGACCAACGACAACAUCAAGAGCGCCCUAAAGAAGGUGGUCAACAAUCAACAGAACAACUGGGAUUUGAUCUAGGAAGCCACACGCUUUUCCCUGAGGUCGAAACUACACACCACAACAAAGUGCUCCCCAUUUCAUCUGAUGUGCAUUUGGGAGAGAAACAGUCUUCCCUUCAGAGAUUGCAGCCGACUUGACGCCAAGUAUCUGGUUCAGUCUCAUGACUUUAGGUGUAAAUCACAAAGAAGUCUUCCUUCUAAAUACGAGGAAACGGGGAAGAAAAGUGGGAAGAAUGGAGCCAGAUUUCUCUGGCCAAUAUACACUCAACUCUGUUUGUGGAAAACUAUCCACUCUGAAGAAUUCAGAAGGAACAAGUUUUAAAAUGAAGUUUAAUGUUGGCCAUUCAAAGGCUUACAGAAGAGAAGACAAUAGAAGCCUAUAAGCUUUGAAGCGACCAAGACACAAACUAACCUGGAAACUCGCAGCAUUUGAAGCCUCCAGAGAGGUAAAGUUGACUACCGUACAGGCAGAAAAAGAACCCGUAGUCCAUAACCCAUAGACAGAUAUGAAAGUUGAUACUCAAGAAGGUCACAACCUUGAGUUUCUUCUCACCGCUUUGACACCAGUUAUUCAUUUACA